rnacentral:piRNA from 1 species
UAGGACUAAAGUCUGAGCCCUGAUCC